rnacentral:rRNA from 1 species
AUUGGACGCUGGCGGCAGGCCUAACACAUGCAAGUCGAGCGGAUGAAGGGAGCUUGCUCCUGGAUUCAGCGGCGGACGGGUGAGUAAUGCCUAGGAAUCUGCCUGGUAGUGGGGGAUAACGUCCGGAAACGGGCGCUAAUACCGCAUACGUCCUGAGGGAGAAAGUGGGGGAUCUUCGGACCUCACGCUAUCAGAUGAGCCUAGGUCGGAUUAGCUAGUUGGUGGGGUAAAGGCCUACCAAGGCGACGAUCCGUAACUGGUCUGAGAGGAUGAUCAGUCACACUGGAACUGAGACACGGUCCAGACUCCUACGGGAGGCAGCAGUGGGGAAUAUUGGACAAUGGGCGAAAGCCUGAUCCAGCCAUGCCGCGUGUGUGAAGGAGGUCUUCGGAUUGUAAAGCACUUUAAGUUGGGAGGAAGGGCAGUAAGUUAAUACCUUGCUGUUUUGACGUUACCAACAGAAUAAGCACCGGCUAACUUCGUG